CCAGACUCCUACGGGAGGCAGCAGUGGGGAAUAUUGCACAAUGGGGGAAACCCUGAUGCAGCGACGCCGCGUGAGCGAUGAAGUAUUUCGGUAUGUAAAGCUCUAUCAGCAGGGAAGAAGAUGACGGUACCUGACUAAGAAGCCCCGGCUAACUACGUGCCAGCAGCCGCGGUAAUACGUAGGGGGCAAGCGUUAUCCGGAUUCACUGGGUGUAAAGGGAGCGUAGACGGCGACGCAAGUCUGGAGUGAAAGCCCGGGGCCCAACCCCGGGACUGCUCUGGAAACUGCGUCGCUGGAGUACGGGAGGGGCAGGCGGAAUUCCUGGUGUAGCGGUGAAAUGCGUAGAUAUCAGGAGGAACACCGGCGGCGAAGGCGGCCUGCUGGACCGUGACUGACGUUGAGGCUCGAGAGCGUGGGGAGCAAACAGGAUUAGAUACCCCAGUA
rnacentral:rRNA from 1 species